AUACGGAGGGUGCAAGCGUUAUUCGGAAUCACUGGGCGUAAAGGACGCGUAGGCGGGUUGGCAAGUCAGAUGUGAAAUCCUACAGCUUAACUGUAGAACUGCAUUUGAAACUGCUAACCUAGUGUAUGGGAGGGGGAGAUGGAAUUAGUGGUGUAGGGGUAAAAUCCGUAGAUAUCACUAGGAAUACCGAAAGCGAAGGCGAUCUCCUGGAACAUAACUGACGCUAAGGCGUGAAAGCGUGGGGAGCAAACAGGAUUAGAUACCCUAGUAGUCC
rnacentral:rRNA from 1 species